UCAUCAUAUCUAUCAGUAUUGGCAUCGUCUCUGGCCUCCUCCUCAUCAUCGCCAUCAUUGUCGUGGUCGUUAUUUGCAAAAGACGUAGAAGACGCUCUAACAUCGCUCUGAGGCAGUCAGUAUGUGAAAGGGAGGGCCAGGAACUCGAUCCCUACACGUCCUUAGAUACAACAACUAUGAAGCAACCAGCCUACGAGGACAUCAAAGCAACUAGACACGGAAAUAGAGGCCACACAAAUGCAAUCGAGGGGGUAGAAUAUGAAAAUCAAAGAAUAGUGGAGCAAACAGCUAAAGUCAAGAAAUCAAACUUGGGAGGGGCCGAUGAGAAUACUGAGCCGGUAUACGAGAUGCUGAAUUAAAAUUGAUUCCAUGAAGUAGGACACAGAACGAGUUUUAAGUACAGUCAUACCUGUCUAGAAUGGUCACUCAUUGUAAAC